CCUACGGGUGGCAGCAGUGAGGAAUAUUGGUCAAUGGACGAGAGCCUGAACCAGCCAAGUCGCGUGAAGGAUGACUGCUCUAUGGGUUGUAAACUUCUUUUAUAUGGGAAUAAAACAGGGUAUGCAUACCCUCUUGUAUGUACCAUAUGAAUAAGGAUCGGCUAACUCCGAGCCAGCAGCCGCGGUAAUACGGAGGAUGCGAGCGUUAUCCGGAUUUAUUGGGUUUAAAGGGAGCGUAGGUGGAUUGUUAAGUCAGAUGUGAAAGUGUGCGGCUCAACCGUAAAAUUGCAGUUGAAACUGGCAGUCUUGAGUACAGUAGAGGUGGGCGGAAUUCGUGGUGUAGCGGUGAAAUGCUUAGAUAUCACGAAGAACUCCGAUGGCGAAGGCAGCUCACUGGACUGCAACUGACGCUGAUGCACGAAAGCGCGGGUAUCGAACAGGAUUAGAUACCCGAGUAGUC
rnacentral:rRNA from 1 species